GAUGAAGAACGCAGCAAAAUGCGAUAAGUAAUGUGAAUUGCAGAAUUCAGUGAAUCAUCGAAUCUUUGAACGCACAUUGCGCCCGCUGGUAUUCCGGCAGGCAUGCCUGUUCGAGCGUCAUUUCAACCCUCAAGCCCCCGGGUUUGGUGUUGGGGAUCGGCUCUGCCCUUCUGGGCGGUGCCGCCCCCGAAAUACAUUGGCGGUCUCGCUGCAGCCUCCAUUGCGUAGUAGCUAACACCUCGCAACUGGAACGCGGCGCGGCCAUGCCGUAAAACCCCAACUUCUGAAUGUUGACCUCGGAUCAGGUAGGAAUACCCGCUGAACUUAAGCAUAUCAAUAAGCGGAGGA
rnacentral:misc_RNA from 1 species